UGCACUGCGUGGUAUAUGCACUCAACAGCUCCCUCCUGCUGAUGUGUUCAUAGAACAGUGCGAUAGAAAUUCACUAUCUGGCAUCGCUGGUUUUCUUAGCUUUGGUGCCUAUUAAACCUGGUAUUUCCAAUGAAACAGUU
ensembl:snoRNA